rnacentral:rRNA from 1 species
CUACGGGGUGCAGCAGUGGGGAAUAUUGGACAAUGGGGGAAACCCUGAUCCAGCAAUGCCGCGUGUGUGAAGAAGGCCUGCGGGUUGUAAAGCACUUUCGGUUGGGAGGACUGCUUCUAGCACUAAUAUUGUUGGAAGUUGACGUUACCUUCAGAAGAAGCACCGGCUAGCUCCGUGCCAGCAGCCGCGGUAAUACGGAGGGUGCAAGCGUUAAUCGGAGUUACUGGGCGUAAAGCGCGCGUAGGCGGCUAGAUCAGUCGGGUGUGAAAGCCCCGGGCUUAACCUGGGAACUGCAUCCGAUACUGUCUAGCUUGAGUACAGGAGAGGAGAGUGGAAUUCCACAUGUAGCGGUGAAAUGCGUAGAUAUGUGGAGGAACACCAAUGGCGAAGGCAGCUCUCUGGCCUGAUACUGACGCUGAGGUGCGAAAGCGUGGGGAGCAAACAGGGUUAGAUACCCGAGUAGUC